UUACCGAAGUUACCCUUCAAACCCUUUGUGAACCUACCCCUGCCGUUGCCUCGGCGGGAGGCGGGGAAGGCCCCCGGGCCGCCCCCGCCCCCGCCGGCGGCGCCAAACUCUUAUUUGCACAGCGGACAACGCCUCUGAUUUUAGAAAUAAAACAAGUCAAAACUUUCAACAACGGAUCUCUUGGUUCUGGCAUCGAUGAAGAACGCAGCGAAAUGCGAUAAGUAAUGUGAAUUGCAGAAUUCAGUGAAUCAUCGAAUCUUUGAACGCACAUUGCGCCCGGCAGUAAUCUGCCGGGCAUGCCUGUCCGAGCGUCAUUUCUGCCCUCGAGCGCGGUUCCGCCCUAGCCGGCGUGCCGCUGCCUCGGUGUUGGGGCACCACGGGGGAGCCCUAGCGCUCCCCCCGCGGGCCCCGAAAUGAAGUGGCGACCCCGCCGCGGCGCCCCCUGCGUAGUAGUCUAACAGCUCGCAUCGGGUCCCGGCGGAGGCCUGCCGUCAAGCCCUCAACUCAGAUGGUUUGACCUCGGAUCAGGUAGGGUUACCCGCUGAACUUAAGCAUAUCAAUAA
rnacentral:sRNA from 1 species